AAGGAUUUUACCUAAGCCUGAUUGUUUCUGAAAGCGGGAGGUUUUAUACAUUGAUUCAUUGCUAAUUAUAUAUCUAUGGAUGUGAUUUCAGGUGAAUUAGACAUGUAGCCAACCAUUUUCUCUUCAAGGCAUGACCUUGGUUUAAAAAAGCGGGAAGCGCACAAAAGCGACGAGGUCUAAAACAGAAGCGCAAAAGUGGUGACCUUUUCGUACGCAAUUAUGGGUUGGAUUGGACCUGACUGAAGAUUUAUGAGUUUCAAGCAAUUUUUCUUUACCUGUAUGAACUGCACUUUGUUUGCGACUUGCCGAGUUAUUAUGUUAAACUAUGUAAGCAAAGAUAAUAUUGUCUUUA